UGGGGAAUAUUGGGCAAUGGGGGAAACCCUGACCCAGCGACGCCGCGUGAGGGAAGAAGGCCUUCGGGUCGUAAACCUCUGUUGUGUGGGAAGAAGAGCGUGACGGUACCACACGAGGAAGUCCCGGCUAACUACGUGCCAGCAGCCGCGGUAAUACGUAGGGGACGAGCGUUGUCCGGAUUUACUGGGCGUAAAGGGCGCGUAGGCGGUCAUUUAAGUCAGCUGUGAAAUGGUUUGGCUUAACCGGAUCAUGCGGUUGAAACUGGAUGACUGGAGUGCUGGAGAGGCAAGUGGAAUUCUCGGUGUAGAGGUGAAAUUCGUAGAUAUCGAGAGGAACACCGGUGGCGAAGGCGGCCAUCUGGACGGUGACUGACGCUGAGACGCGAAAGCAUGGGGAGCAAACA
rnacentral:rRNA from 1 species